rnacentral:rRNA from 1 species
AUUGAACGCUGGCGGCAUGCUUUACACAUGCAAGUCGAACGGCAGCGCGGGCUUCGGCCUGGCGGCGAGUGGCGAACGGGUGAGUAAUACAUCGGAACGUGCCCAGUAGUGGGGGAUAGCUCGGCGAAAGCCGGAUUAAUACCGCAUACGACCUGAGGGUGAAAGCGGGGGAUCUUCGGACCUCGCGCUAUUGGAGCGGCCGAUGGCAGAUUAGCUAGUUGGUGGGGUAAAGGCCUACCAAGGCGACGAUCUGUAGCUGGUCUGAGAGGACGACCAGCCACACUGGGACUGAGACACGGCCCAGACUCCUACGGGAGGCAGCAGUGGGGAAUUUUGGACAAUGGGCGAAAGCCUGAUCCAGCAAUGCCGCGUGUGUGAUGAAGGCAUUCGGGUUGUAAAGCACUUUUGGCGGGAACGAAAAGGACUGUGCCAAUACCACGGUUCGAUGACGGUACCCGCAGAAUAAGCACCGGCUAACUACGUG